rnacentral:rRNA from 1 species
GACGAACGCUGGCGGCGUGCUUAACACAUGCAAGUCGAGCGGUAAGGCCCCUUCGGGGGUACACGAGCGGCGAACGGGUGAGUAACACGUGAGCAAUCUGCCCAUCACAUCGGGAUAACUCCGGGAAACCGAAGCUAAUACCGAAUACGACCACCUCCGGCAUCGGAUGGUGGUGGAAAGUUCCGGCGGUGAUGGAUGAGCUCGCGGCCUAUCAGCUUGUUGGUGGGGUAACGGCCCACCAAGGCUUCGACGGGUAGCCGGCCUGAGAGGGUGACCGGCCACACUGGGACUGAGACACGGCCCAGACUCCUACGGGAGGCAGCAGUGGGGAAUAUUGGACAAUGGGCGAAAGCCUGAUCCAGCAACGCCGCGUGAGGGAUGACGGCCUUCGGGUCGUAAACCUCUUUCAGCAGGGACGAAGCGCAAGUGACGGUACCUGCAGAAGAAGCACCGGCCAACUACGUG